CUCCCUCUCCUCCCUCCCCCAACGCGCACGCUGUAUAGAAAAUCUCCUCUCGGCGGCGGGAGGGCGGUGAAAUCCUUCGCUCUCCUCCCUCCGCUCUCCGUAACGCAAGCGAGCCGCCGCCUUCUGUUCCUCAGCCUCGGCCAAGUCGGCGUUUUGUUGACAGGCUCUGCCGGGCACAAAAUGGGGCUGCCGCUUCCAUGGGCGCCGCCAUUUUGUGAGGAGCCGCAGCGCUGGCUACGACCGCAGCUUCAGUACCGGCGGCGGCGGCGAUCCGAGCGCGGCGCGGCGGUGGCGGCCGGGGUCUGCUCAAUGGUUGAAUAGAGUGACCCCCUCCAGGGAAUCCCCAGCUGACGGUUACAUCUCUGACACCCCAACAAGUGUGACCCAAGGGCAGACCUUCAGCAAGCGCCUGGCUGCAUGUCUCUAUGCUUACGUUCAAGCUGAAACAGCACUCGAGGAAAAAAAACCUUCCUAAAAAAAAUUUUUAUAU